GUGAGGAAUAUUGCGCAAUGGAGGCAACUCUGACGCAGCCAUGUCGCGUGCAGGAAGAAGGCGCUACGCGUUGUAAACUGCUUUUAACCGGGAAGAAACCCCAGGACGUGUCCUGGGUUGACGGUACCGGAGGAAUAAGCACCGGCUAACUUCGUGCCAGCAGCCGCGGUAAUACGAAGGGUGCAAGCGUUAUCCGGAUUCAUUGGGUUUAAAGGGUGCGUAGGCGGAGCGUUAAGUCAGUGGUGAAAUCCUGCAGCUUAACUGUAGACUUGCCAUUGAUACUGGCGCUCUUGAGUGCGCUUGAAGUGGGCGGAAUGUGCCGUGUAGCGGUGAAAUGCUUAGAUAUGGCACAGAACACCAAUUGCGAAGGCAGCUCACUAAGGCGAUACUGACGCUGAGGCACGAAAGCGUGGGGAUCGAACAGGAUUAGAUACCCCUGUAGUCC
rnacentral:rRNA from 1 species